AUUGGACGCUGGCGGCAUGCCUUACACAUGCCAGUCGAACGGUAACGGGCCUUCGGGUGCCGACGAGUGGCGAACGGGUGAGUAAUACAUCGGAACGUGCCCGAUCGUGGGGGGUAACGAGGCGAAAGCUUUGCUAAUACCGCAUACGAUCUACGGAUGAAAGCAGGGGACCGCAAGGCCUUGCGCGGACGGAGCGGCCGAUGGCAGAUUAGGUAGUUGGUGGGAUAAAAGCUUACCAAGCCGACGAUCUGUAGCUGGUCUGAGAGGAUGAUCAGCCACACUGGGACUGAGACACGGCCCAGACUCCUACGGGAGGCAGCAGUGGGGAAUUUUGGACAAUGGGCGCAAGCCUGAUCCAGCCAUGCCGCGUGCAGGAUGAAGGCCUUCGGGUUGUAAACUGCUUUUGUACGGAACGAAAAGCCUUCUUUUAAUACAGGAGGGUCAUGACGGUACCGUAAGAAUAAGCACCGGCUAACUACGUG
rnacentral:rRNA from 1 species